UACGGAGGGUGCAAGCGUUGUUCGGAAUUAUUGGGCGUAAAGGGCAGGUAGGUGGUCUUGUAAGUCUACUGUGAAAUCCCUGGGCUUAACCCAGGAAGUGCGGUGGAUACUGCAAGACUAGAGUGCCGGAAGGGUGCGUAGAAUUCUCGGUGUAGCGGUGAAAUGCGUAGAGAUUGGGAAGAACACCGGUGGCGAAAGCGCUCUGCUGGGCCGCAACUGACACUAAUGGACGAAAGCUAGGGGAGCGAAUGGG
rnacentral:rRNA from 1 species